GUGUAAUACUUUGAAUUACCGUUUAAUUCCUGCUCUCUGAACUACUUAUAUACCAUGUGCUAAAAAUAUUUUUAAAUGUAUCUAACAUCUACAGGUGCAAAAGUUCAUUUAUUUCAGUAAUGCAACGUAAAAGGGGAAACUAAUUUAUGAGAUAAACGCACUACACGCAAAGCAAGAUAGUUCAAACCGUGAUUUGUCAUAAGUGCGAUGAUUAU